AAAUGAAUACAUCACCAAAAUACAUAGCUCUCCAACCUCACCUACAUGAAUCUCUCACAAAUACAUAGGUGUGCCAAAUACAAGUGGGCAUAAGCAACAACAAGAUAGAUAGAUAGAUAGAUAUCUUAAAGCGUUAAAGGCAUAAAGGAAAACUAUGCUACUAUGCCCAUAAUCAUGUGUAUGAAUGCAUGCAUCAUAUAGUACAAGUUUACUAUCAUGCUAACAUGUUCGAU
rnacentral:lncRNA from 1 species